rnacentral:rRNA from 1 species
CCCUUAGAUGUCCUGGGCUGCACGCGCGCUACACUGACGAACUCAACGAGCUUAUCACCUUGGCAGAGAUGUCUGGGUAAUCUUUUGAAAGUUCGUCGUGCUGGGGAUAGAUGAUUGUAAUUAUUCGUCUUGAACGAGGAAUUCCUAGUAAGUGUGAGUCAUCAGCUCGCGCUGAUUACGUCCCUGCCCUUUGUACACACCGCCCGUCGCUCCUACCGAUUGAAUGGUCCGGUGAGGUUCUCGGAUUUUUUCUGUUGUUUGGUUCGCUAAACGAUUGAAGAGAGAAGUUACCCAAACCUUACCAUUUAGAGGAAGGAGAAGUCGUAACA